GACGAACGCUGGCGGCGUGCUUAACACAUGCAAGUCGAACGGAAAGGCCCUGCUUUUGUGGGGUACUCGAGUGGCGAACGGGUGAGUAACACGUGAGUAACCUGCCCUUGACUUUGGGAUAACUUCAGGAAACUGGGGCUAAUACCGGAUAGGAGCUCCUGCUGCAUGGUGGGGGUUGGAAAGUUUCGGCGGUUGGGGAUGGACUCGCGGCUUAUCAGCUUGUUGGUGGGGUAGUGGCUUACCAAGGCUUUGCCGGGUAGCCGGCCUGAGAGGGUGACCGGCCACAUUGGGACUGAGAUACGGCCCAGACUCCUGCGGGAGGCAGCAGUGGGGAAUAUUGCACAAUGGGCGGAAGCCUGAUGCAGCAACGCCGCGUGCGGGAUGACGGCCUUCGGGUUGUAAACCGCUUUCGCCUGUGACGAAGCGUGAGUGACGGUAAUGGGUAAAGAAGCACCGGCUAACUACGUG
rnacentral:rRNA from 1 species